ACUUAAAUUGAAGAGUUUGAUCAUGGCUCAGAUUGAACGCUGGCGGCAGGCCUAACACAUGCAAGUCGAGCGGUAGCACAGAGAGCUUGCUCUCGGGUGACGAGCGGCGGACGGG
rnacentral:rRNA from 3 species